AUGAAGAUAUGACGAACGACAUUUCUGGAGAGUCAACCGAGAUAAGUUUGCCACAGCCUCCUCGUAAUUCUAGUUCUUCCAGCGAAUCUGAAGAUUCUUAACAAGUUUUCCAAAUGCAAAUGUUUAUAUAUAAUUGGUAAAACAUAUGCCAGCGGCGUACGUAGAUUAUGUAAUUGUGUAUAAAUAUUUUGUUUCCGAUGUGUUUUAGGUUUUUUGCGUCUUGGAAAUGUUGAGCUAGAAACAUUCAUGUAUUGAAUACUACUUUAUUCCUUGAAUUUACAUAAUAUUUUUAUUUUUAUGCUUUGGUUUUAUUUCCUGAAACUUUGUAGUUACUCAAGUUCUUUCAAUAUUUCAUCUCUAUAAUUAUUUUUCUUUUGACAAAUUACCCUGCAUGUAAGUUUGCUCCCGAGUGUACUCCCUUAAUACAUGUUAUAUAUUCUGUAGUUGUUGUAAAUAAAUAGUUACCUUCCAAGU
rnacentral:misc_RNA from 1 species